UACGUAGGUGGCAAGCGUUGUCCGGAUUUACUGGGCGUAAAGGAUGCGUAGGCGGAUGUUUAAGUGAGAUGUGAAAUCCCCGAGCUCAACUUGGGUGCUGCAUUUCAAACUGGAUAUCUAGAGUGCAGGAGAGGAAAGCGGAAUUCCUAGUGUAGCGGUGAAAUGCGUAGAGAUUAGGAAGAACACCAGUGGCGAAGGCGGCUUUCUGGACUGUAACUGACGCUGAGGCAUGAAAGCGUGGGGAGCAAACAGG
rnacentral:rRNA from 1 species